UCCUAGCCCGGAUACAAGCGGUAUCCUCUUUCUUGUUAUUCAGACGAAGGAAGAAUAACAAGAAAGAGAUACAAGCGGAUAGCCGUAAAUAGC
rnacentral:sRNA from 1 species